UCUUGCAAAUGUCGUGUUGGCUCUUGUAGAUUGCUUGAGAUGUGAGCAUCAGGUGUUGAAGAAGGUAUGCUUUCCUUACUAACAACUCUUAUGUAGUAUUAUAUUUUUCUCACCUCUCAGUUGAUAUUUUUGUUAGUACUGUAGGAGGCAGCCUGGGGUUUAUCCAACAUAGCAGCAGGUACUCCUGCUCAUAAGAAGUUGAUAUACUUUAGCGAGACAUUGCCUUUGUUGCUACAUCUUCUUUCUGCUCCUCAUUCGACAUAAGAAAUGAGGUAGCGUAUGCACUUGGUAACAUUUGUGUCGCCCCGGUUGAAGAAAAUGGCCAACCAAAUACCUGAGUCCUUUUGAUAAUUUACCCUCGCAUUUUGUUUGCUUUGAUCUUGUUUACUCGAUCCUUGCUUGAGAGAUUGCACUCCUGUUUGUUUGAGAGAUGUGGACUCUUUAUUUUACACUUUUGAAGCAUUUAAGCGCACUAAAUUAUUUUUCUUUGAAACAUGAGUUAGUGGAUAUAGAAAAUAGGGCCAAACAAAAGGUUCAACAGUGACACACUGACGACACCAAGCCACAUAUGGAAUCCGAAAAAGAGCGUCAAAUGGAAAUGCGCAGGAUACUGGCAGUUCAAUGGAAAUUCUGGUGCCAUGUGCCAACGAAUUUCAAUGAUGGUAGAUGGUAGGAAUUAAAUGCUACGGAGAAAUAAAGUUCGUUCUGGAGCAGGAGCAAUCAAAUACAUUUCCAGUGCAGAUGGUGCACCGUUUACGUCCAAGUUGUAUACAACUAUGAACAUCACCUUUUGAUUGUUUUUGCAUAGUUUUUUCUUUUGU